GGGCCAGUGGCAAAACGGAUAACGGGCCUGAUUACGGAUCAGGAGAUUCCAGGUUUGAAUCGUGGCUGGCUCG
rnacentral:tRNA from 1 species